ensembl:snoRNA SNORA74 Small nucleolar RNA SNORA74
CCCAGCCGUAGUCAGCUGUCUAGGCUUACACUGUGCUUGGAUCAGUGUUACUCUGCUGGAACAGAAAGGCGCCGCCGGUCUGGCCUGGCACAGUAUCUGCUGUUCUAGUGGCUUCUGAUGCCCGGCUAUGGUAGUGCUGUGACCCCUGAGAGUGGACUACACCAGAUCAGUGUGUACACUAGGCUAGUCCUAGUCUGGGGUCAAACAAU